rnacentral:rRNA from 1 species
CACGUAGGGCGCAAGCGUUGUCCGGAAUUAUUGGGCGUAAAGCGUCCGCAGGUGGCACUUCAAGUCUGCUGUCAAAGACCGGGGCUUAACCCUGGAAAGGCAGUGGAAACUGAAGCGCUAGAGUGUGGCAGGGGUAGAGGGAAUUCCCGGUGUAGCGGUGAAAUGCGUAGAGAUCGGGAAGAACAUCGGUGGCGAAAGCGCUCUACUGGGCCAUAACUGACACUCAGGGACGAAAGCUAGGGGAGCGAAUGGG